rnacentral:rRNA from 1 species
UACAGAGGGUGCAAGCGUUAAUCGGAAUUACUGGGCGUAAAGGGUGUGUAGGUGGUUGCGUAAGUUAGAUGUGAAAUCCCCGGGCUUAACCUGGGAACUGCGUUUAAAACUGCGUGGCUAGAGUAGUGCAGAGGAUAGUGGAAUUUCCAGUGUAGCGGUGAAAUGCGUAGAUAUUGGAAGGAACACCAGUGGCGAAGGCGACUAUCUGGGCAAAUACUGACACUGAGACACGAAAGCAUGGGGAGCAAACAGG